AGUGAACGCUGGCGGUAGGCCUAACACAUGCGAGUCGAACGGCAGCACAGUAAGAGCUUGCUCUUACGGGUGGCGAGUGGCGGACGGGUGCGGAAUACAUCGGAAUCUACUUUUUCGUGGGGGAUAACGAAGGGAAACGUACGGUAAUACCGCAUACGACCUACGGGUGAAAGCAGGGGCUCUUCGGACCUUGGGCGAUGGAAUGAGCCGAUGUCGGAUUAGCUAGUUGGCGGGGGAAAGGCCCACCAAGGCGACGAUCCGUAGCUGGUCUGCGAGGAUGACCAGCGAUACUGGGACUGAGACACGGUCCAGACUCCGACGGGAGGCCGCAGUAGGGAAUAUUGGACGACGGGCGCAAGCCUGAUCCAGCCAUGCCGCGUGGGUGAAGAAGGCCUUCGGGUGUUGAAGUACAUUUGUUAGGGAAGAAAAGCAGCAUUUUAAUACCCCGCUGCUCUGACGGUACCCAAAGAAUAAGCACCGGCUAACUCCGUG
rnacentral:rRNA from 1 species